AUGUUUGGGGCUGGGAGCAGUCACAGCAGGCACCGGGUGUGGCUGCUGACCUUCACGCUUGGUGCUUCCCCAAAGCAUUCUCCCCAGUUUGUCCUGCUGCCUUCAAGCAGGAAUUGCUUGUGGCUGGGUAUUGUAUGGUCAGUGGUCACCAGCUCGGUUUCCUUGGGAGAACACAUUGCUGCUGGUGAUUAUUUGCCCUUUGGGGCAGCACUGAAAACAGCUUUCACUUAUUGCUGCCUUUGGUUUUGGCUGAACAAGAACUCAGGCUCUGCUGAAGAGAUUUCCAGACCAGAAGUGAAGUGCUGGGCUUCUGUGUCCUGCCUGUAGCACCUCCAUCAUCCUCUUUGCUCUGUGUCCCUGGCUGGAGCAGCCCCUGGUUCCCAGCACUGGCAGCAGGUGGGUGGGUCACUUCAGUCUCCACCCUGGAAUGUGACAUCUCACAGCUCAGUCUCCUGCUUGAAUGUCUCCAAGCUGUUCCUGGAAGGAUGAGCCAUUUGAGCCAGGAAGAGAUGAAAUUAUUGGAAUUGAGCAGAACCAAUUUCCAUGAUAAGUGCUGCCCUGCUGUUUGCACACCAAACCUGUCCUGCUGUGUCUCUGACUCAGACUGAACUGAUGACGUCCUGCUCUGAAUAGUCACUGACUUUUUUGGAGGAGCUGAUCCCCUGAUGUAUGAGUGUCAUCACACACAUGUUGGCUUUCUCCACACAGAGAUUCCACAGGCCUAAGUCUCUCAAUUAGGAUAAAUCAAGAAUAAUGCUAAAAGCAGUGGUCUACCACUGACGUAGGUGAACUGUUGACUUCCUUGGACUAAUUUCAUCUCCUCUGUACGCAGAAAAGAGCCUGUCAUUGGACAACAGAAAUCAGCAUAGCUCCAGCUGGUUCACUGCAGCUGCUGUGGAGCCAAUUCCCUCAGCUGCCCCCUCUAUGUCAUAUUUUACAUCAUAGGAAAUGGGUUUGGUGCAACAACAGGACUGUUGCAGAGCUGUUUUUCUUACAUUGAGAUUUCCCCAGAUGCCAUUGAGCAGACAUACAAAUAUCCAACAUCUUCAAACCAUCAAUUACCCCCCUGUCUCUGUCUCAGGUGUAUUUUGGCUCCCAACCAUCCUGUCUGAGCAACUAAGCAGCCCCUACAACCACUUACUGACCACCAAACCAGCCCAUUGCUGGCCAGAGGCAGGCAGAAAAGAAUCUGAAAGGGUUUUCUGAGCACAUGAGGGGCUGGUGGUUGGAGAAGUUUUGUGGUAGCAUGGCUGUGAGAGAGCAGUGAUCAGCUCUAGGGUGUUGCAGAAAUCUAAAAAAAGAGAUUUUGGUCUGAACCCCCUCCUUGUCCUCAUUCUCCCCAGUUCUGCUUCUCUACAGAGGAUCUCUGUGGUCUGGUUUGCAAAGUGGUAACUGCAUGACUGUUAAAUCAUGGAAGCAAAGGAAAUCCCUUUUUUUCACACUGGUGACACUGGGCUGCAAUAGAAUUAACCACAAUGCAAAUGGAAAGAAACCCUGAUUUGCAGAUUACUCUGCAGUGAGACACUUUCAGAGCUGCACAACACUUUCUCUUCUUUGAGGGCUGCUGCAGGUGCAGAGCAGCUCUGCAGACACAGGACAUCACAGUUCUUUUUCCACCCUCACACCAUUUUCUCCUGCAUCAUCCUCUUCAACUCAAUCCACACAUCCUAACCACACAGAUGCUGUGAGUGUGCUUUUCCCUGUUCCACACCAAAACAAUCCCACAGGCUCCAUACAGCAAUUUGCUCAAAAUAAGAGAAAGUUGGCAUAAGUAUUGGAUUUUUGGUUCAAGAGUUUUUAAACUGCCCUGGUCUGAGCUCUCUGCUCUGUGGCAUUCCUCCCUCCCAGCUAUACCCACUCUUGAUUUAACUGGAUAACCCAGAAAACUCUUCCUUUUUUAAAAGAAAAACCUCUAGGAUUGGUUUCUUCCUUUUUUCUUUUUCUUUUGAACAGGAAACCAAUACUGCAACGGAAAUGAGCUGCUUUAACAUAGGUGCUGGUGCCAGUGCUGCAGCUUGUUCACACAAACCUCCAGCUGCAAGAGCUGCCUCCCCUGUGGUGCUGAGGAAGCCUAUGGAAUUCUGCCUGGUCUAUCUGCUACUCCAGAGUUUUGCUUGAAUGCAGUUGCUGUGGCAUGAAUUAUUGAUAUUUCUGUUCAGGUUUGCUGUUCAUGCAGGAAUUUGUAAUGCUUCCCCACGCUGCGCUGUGAAUGCGCUCCCGGGUCACAUCAAGGGCUGUGUUUAACACCCUUUUACUUGCAUGCUUGUGACAUUGAUUUAGCCAUUUCAGGGCUAGGGCUGCAAAAUUAACCAAACCCCAGUGUAAACAGCUCUUUUUUCUGACAAAAGGCAGUCUCGAGGUGAAAGGAGCUGAUAUGGAAGGGCAAGGAGAAGGUAGAGUUAUGUCUGUGUAUUUUCAGGGCAUCACCACAAAGAUGAUGGAAAGGUUCCUAGGAAUUUCUGAGUGUUCUUUGCCCUGACCUCAGUAUCUGGCAUUUCCAGAGGCUGCCCUUGCUGCCACUGUGCUUAGCACCUCGGGAGAUCGCAUUAAUAACGUCCGUUUCUAAGGCAACAACCUUGUGAUUUAGAAAAGACUGAGUUGAAAGUGUGUGUGUUUACAAACAAACACAUCUUAUCCAUAAAUAUGUAUUUACAUACAUAUGGAUAUGAAUUUAUGUCAGACCUCCAAGUCACUUAGCAGUGGAGAAACAGGAAGCAUCUGAAUGAGGGAAUGUAUUGACAGCGACAACCCAUCUUCAGAGAGUUUGGUCAGAGAUUUCACAAGAAGUAGGAGCAAAUUCACUUAGGAAUUCCCUGAAAGGUGCUACCCACAGGAAAAUGUGGGGCAAAGCUCAGAGGAGGGAACAACCUGGCAUGGAUAAGACUGAGCAGUGAUGCCCAUCAGCCUCCACCAGCCCUGCAGGAGCAACCUUUGCUCUUUACCCCGUGUGAGAUGCAAAUUCAGAUGCAGUCCGUGGUCUAUGCCAGGAAUCACAAUCCUCAGGAGUCAAUGUCCAUCAGGAGAACCUCAGUGCCUGCCCUGGAUCAGCAUUGUGCCAACCAACACUGGGGAAAUACCCAACCUCUUAACCUGGGAUAAACCAGGAGUAAAUUUACAGAGAUACCCUUGUAUGUGGGAGGUCAGCUUAAGACUUUGAUUUUCCACUGAAUAAAGUUUAUCUUCAUUUCUGGCUCA
rnacentral:lncRNA from 1 species